AGUGAACGCUGGCGGUAGGCCUAACACAUGCAAGUCGAACGGCAGCACCGUAAGUGCUUGCUCUUACGGGUGGCGCGUGGCGGAAGGGUGCGGAAUACAUCGGAAUAUACUUUUUCGUGGGGGCUAACGCAGGGAAACUUACGCUAAUACAGGAUACGACCUACGGGUGACAGCCGGGGAUCUUCGGACCUUGUGCGUUUGAAUGAGCCGAUGUCGGAUUAGCUAGUGGGCGGGGUGACGGCCCACCAAGGCGACGAUCCGUAGCUGGUCUGAGGGGGAGGUCAGGCACACUGGAACUGAGAAAGGGUCCAGACACCUGCGGUGGGCGACGGUGGGGAAUAUUGGAGAAUGGACGCGAGCCGGAUCCAGCGAAAUCGGGUAGGUGAAGAAGGCGUUCGGGUUGGAAAGCCCUGUUGUUGGGAGAGAAAAGCAACAGGUUAAUACCCCGCGGUACUGACGGUACCCAAAGAAGAAGCACCGGCUAACUUCGUG
rnacentral:rRNA from 1 species